UCUUGUUGGUGAGGUAACGGCCCACCAAGGCGACGACGGGUAGCCGGCCUGAGAGGGCGACCGGCCACACUGGGACUGAGACACGGCCCAUACUCCUACGGGAGGCAGCAGUGGGGAAUAUUGCUCAAUGGGCGAAAGCCUGAUGCAGCGACGCCGCGUGAGGGAAGAAGGCCUUCGGGUUGUAAACCUCUUUCAGCUCCGACGAAGGGCAACUGACGGUAUGAGCAGAAGAAGCGCCGGCCAAUUACGUGCCAGCAGCCGCGGUAAGACGUAGGGCGCAAGCGUUGUCCGGAUUUAUUGGGCGUAAAGAGCUCGUAGGCGGCUUGUUGCGUCGACUGUGAAAACCCGCGGCUCAACCGUGCGGUCUGCAGUCGAUACGGGCAGGCUAUAGUUCGGUAGGGGAGACUGGAAUUCCUGGUGUAGCGGUGAAAUGCGCACAUAUCAGGAGGAACACCUGUGGCGAAGGCGGGUCUCUGGGCCGAUACUGACGCUGAGGAGCGAAAGCGUGGGGAGCGAACAGGAUUAGAUACCCUGUUAGUCCACGCUGUAUUCGUUGGGCGCUAGGUGUGGGGGACCUCUCCGGUCCUCUGUGCCGCAGCUAACGCAUUAAGCGCCCCGCCUGGGGUAGUACGGA
rnacentral:rRNA from 1 species